rnacentral:rRNA from 1 species
AGUACUUUAGUUUGAUACCCCGAAACUAAGUGAGCUACUCCAAGACAGCCUAUUAAUAGGGCCAACCCGUCUCUGUGGCAAAAGAGUGGGAAGAGCUUUGAGUAGAGGUGACAGACCAAUCGAACUUAGCUAUAGCUGGUUGCCUACGAAAUGAAUAGAAGUUCAGCCUCUCGGCUUCUUUCCUGACACUCGUCCUUAACCCACAAGACACCAGAAGAAACCGUGAGAGUUAUUCAAAAGAGGUACAGCUCCUUUGAAACAAGAUACAACUUUCCCAGGAGGAUAAAGAUCAUAAUAAAUCAAAGGCAAUGUGUUCUAGUGGGCCCGAAAGCAGCCAUCCUAAAAGAAAGCGUUAAAGCUCAAACAUAUCCCCCCGCCCUCGAUCCUGAUAAUUUAAUCUAAGUCCCCUAAUUGUACUAGGCCCUUCCAUGCAAACAUGGAAGUGAUUAUGCUAAUAUGAGUAAUAAGAGAGCUCAUGUCUCUCUCCUCGCACACCUGUAAAUCGAAAUGGACCCCCCACCGAAUCUUAACGGCCCCAAACAAAGAGGGAAUUGAACAACAAACUAAACAACUAGAAAAACAUUCUACAAACAACCGUUAACCCCACACUGGCGUGCCCCUAAGGAAAGACUAAAAGCCCCCGAAGGAACUCGGCAAACACCCAGGCCUCGCCUGUUUACCAAAAACAUCGCCUCUUGCAAAACCAAUGAAUAAGAGGUCCCGCCUGCCCUGUGACUAUAGUUUAACGGCCGCGGUAUUUUGACCGUGCGAAGGUAGCGCAAUCACUUGUCUUUUAAAUGGGGACCUGUAUGAAUGGCACCGACGAGGGCUUAACUGUCUCCUUUUUCAAGUCAAUGAAAUUGAUCUCCCCGUGCAGAAGCGGGGAUAACAACAUAAGACGAGAAGACCCUGUGGAGCUUUAGACACUAAAGCAGCCCCUAUCUAGUACAUCCUCCGUAAAGAGAAACUAAAGGGCCCCUGCCCUAAUGUCUUUGGUUGGGGCGACCGCGGGGAAAUAUAAAACCCCCACGUGCAGUGGGAGUACUACUCCUAAAAUCCAGAGCUUCCGCUCUAAAAAACAGAAUUUCUGACCAACAAGAUCCGGCAAAGCCGAUCAACGGACCGAGUUACCCCAGGGAUAACAGCGCAAUCCUCUUUUAGAGUUCAUAUCGACAAGGGGGUUUACGACCUCGAUGUUGGAUCAGGA